AUCUUUAAGAAAACAUUUAAAGUAAAACCUGCUCAAUGAACAUUUAAAUAGCCGCAGUUUAAUCUGUGCUAAGGUAGCAUAAUAAUUUGCUUCUUAAUUAGAAGAUAGAAUGAACGGUUAAACGAAGAAAAACUGUCUCAUAAAUUAAAAUUAACUUAAAAUAUUAGUAAAAAUUCUAAUAUAAAUAUGAAAGACGACAAGACCCUAACAAACUUAACAUUUAGUUGGGGCAACAAAAUAAAUACACUUUAUUAUAGUAUAUAUAACUUUACAAUAUAAUAUAAGCUAGUUACUGUAGGGAUAACAGCGCAAUUCUUUUUAAGAGUUCUAAUUAAAAAAAGAUAUUACGACCUCGAUGUUGAAUUAGUUACCCUUUACGGUGCAAAAGCUAUAAAGGUGCGGUCUGUUCGACCAAUAUAAAAC
rnacentral:rRNA from 1 species